CCAGCACCCCGAGUGGUCGGGACGAUUAUUGGGCCUAAAGCAUCCGUAGCCGGUUUUACAAGUCCUCCGUUAAAUCCAACUGCUUAACAGAUGGGCCGCGGAGGAUACUAUAAGACUAGGAGGCAGGAGAGGCAAGCGGUACUCAGUGGGUAGGGGUAAAAUCCGUUGAUCCAUUGAAGACCACCAGUGGCGAAGGCGGCUUGCCAGAAUGCGCUCGACGGUGAGGGAUGAAAGCUGGGGGAGCAAACCGGAUUAGAUACCCGGGUAGUCCCAGCUGUAAACGAUGCAGACUCGGUGAUGGACUAGCUUUUAUGCUAGUCCAGUGCCGCAGGGAAGCCGUUAAGUCUGCCGCCUGGGUAGUACGGUCGCAAGACUG
rnacentral:rRNA from 1 species